rnacentral:tRNA from 1 species
GGUAAAAUGGCUGAGGUUAGGCGAUAAAUUGUAAAUUUAUUUAGGAGAAUUUUUCUCUUUUAUCA